rnacentral:lncRNA from 1 species
UGCUAAAGAAAAACUGAAGAGCGUUACCAGAAGCAAGAAUGGUUGUGGCGUCGGCAAAAUUGAAUACACGUGCGUAUCGACACCGAUGUGGGAUACGUUCUGAGUAGUUGAGGGAAGACCCAAAAUCAUGCCGUCGGAGCUCUUCCUGGAACCGCACCGCGGCAUGUGUGGCUCCAUGGAGGGCGUGACGCACCGUGCAGCAAUACUCGCAGCGUGGAGAGUUCCAGUCCCGAAAUGGCAGCGUCAGGCAAGCUGCUUCCAAUACCCCUCCCUCCGACAACCAGAAACAAAUACCCAGCGCCCAGAUCCACACCAGCAGCAACCCAGAGCUCCAGUCUGAGGAUGAGACUGUUCCAGGGCCACAGAAAAGAGGAAAACCUCGGGCAGAUGGUGAGGGAAGGGAACCUCCGUGUUCAGGACACCUCCGCCCAUCCACAUUCGGCCUGGCACCGAUCCUGCGGAAUCUCUCCCCAACGCACGGUUUCUACACUGGAACGAUUGAAACUAAGGGGGUGCGCCAACUCCCCCACCUUCGCGGGUCCCCUGGCAGGAGACCUGGUCCUUGCCUUACCGCAGUAGGUGUGGCUGUGACUGAAGGGAGCGGCAUCCCUGAGCACAGUCGGAGACAAAGGGAGGCGAGGGCCAACCCCAGCCCGGAAACUCUGCCCUGUAACUCGGCCAAAGGAGACGCCGCAUUGGAGCGGCUGUUCCGCAGCACCAUGCUGUAGAAGGUACGUUCCUCUGAUGCCCUGUGCGCAAACCCCUAGCCAGCCUUCCCACACUGCCAGGAUAACCCUUUUGAAACCUCCCCUGUUUGGGACAGGCCGUGCUCCCACCUUUUAUUGGAGACGAGGCGAACCUGGGCUUAGGGCGCCACCUAGAGCCAAAAAAGAGGAAGCGACCUGGCCGCGAAGCUUCGCUAGGCAAGGAUGUCCCACAGAAACCCAAACAAGCCAGACAGAGAAAACUGGAAUAAAUAAUCCUUCAUUGCAAAGACACAGGCGUAUACCCACAAAAACACCAGCAAGCAGGAGACCAUGACCUACGCAAAAGGACAAAGCAAAAAUCCAGUGACUGGGCCUAACGACAUGGCGAUUGGUGAGCUCCCUGACCAAGAAUUCAAAAUAGCAGUUUUAAGGAAACUCAGUGAUCUCCGAGAUAGCACACAAGCGCAUUUCAGAAACUUAUCAAAGUUAACAAAAUAUUAAAGUAAUUUUAAAAAUCAAGCAAAUCUUGAAACUGAGAAGUUCAUUUGCUGAAUCGCUGAAGUUCAUUUGCUGAUGAACUCGAUAGACUCUCAACAGCAGAGGGAACCAAACAGAGGAAAGUAUCAGUGAGCUUGAAGACUGGCUAUUUGAAAAUACAGCCAGAGGGAAAAAAAGGAAAAAAAUAACUGAAAGGAAUGAAGACCGCCAACAAGAUCUACAAAAGUAACUCAAAACACCAAAUCUAAGAUCUACAAAAGUAAUUCAAAAGACCAAAUCUAGGAAUUGUUGGUGUUCAAGAGGGAGCUGAGGCCGAGCAUGUGGCUCAUGCCUGCAAUCCCAGCACUUUGGGAGGCAGAGGUGGGAGGACUGCUUGAGGCCAGGAGUUCGAGACCAGCCUGGACAACAUAGUGAGACCUCGUCUCUACUAAAAAUUAAAAAAAUAUUAGCUGGGCACAAUGAUGUGCACCUGUAGUCCCAGCUACUCAGGAGGCUGAGGCUAGAAGACCGCUUGAGCCUGAGAGAUGAAGGUUGCAGUGAGCCGUGAUCAUGCCACUGCACUCCAGCAUGCAUGACAGAGUGAGACCCUGUCUCAAAAAAAAAAAAAAAAAAAAAAAAACCAAAACAGUGGGAGCUGAGCAAGAGCAAGGGGUAGAAAGCUUAUUCGAAGAACUAAUAACAUAGUAAUACCCAACCUGUGCAACACUCCUUUCCUGUGCCAGGCACUGUGCUAAGCAAUUAACGUGUACUAUCUCAUUUAAUCCUCUCAGCGACUCUAUGGCGACAGUAUUAUUAAUGGUGCUUCAUGAAAGGAAAAACUCAAGGAAAUAUCUCUUCUUCCUAUAGCGUGAGAGCCAGCUAAGGAGUGCAAGCCCCCCCCUCCCCAACCAUGGGGUGAGAAGUGUCCCCUCUGUUCUCCCAGCAGUCCUGUGCUUCCCUGUUACAGAGUGCCCCCCAGUCUGCUGUGAUGGCUGUGGCCCUGCAUCUCUUCCACAUGAAAUGAGAGCUGGAGGCAUGGCUCACUCCAUGAUACAGAUCUAGUCCCUAGAACAGAACUAGGCUCCUAUGGGGAAAUGCAAUAAGGACAGCGAACAAAGAAAGGGAGAGGUAGAAGGAAGCUCAGAAGUUUAAAGGACUCAGUCUGGCAGAAAAAGAAAGAGGGGUUGAGGAGGGAGUGAGAUGAAGGGAAGUUGAGUGCAAGGAAGUUCAGAGGGGGAACUCUACAGAAUGCACAUGGAAAAUAAAGUUAAUCAGCAAGGAUGGAAAGAUAUCUUAAACGUCAACAUCAACAGAAAAAAGACCUAACUGUAUAUCAAAUUGAACUUUAAUAAUUUAGUGGAAUAUAAUUUUAAUGGAAUAUAAUCUUGUGCUUUGCUUUGUAGAUGUGUUGAUGGUCGUGGUAUUGAUGUAGUAAUUCCAGCACUAUUUGUGACUAAGGAAUGUUAAAGCAAAUAUAUUGUUUGGGGGAAUAAUAAUUCUCAUUCACUAAGAGAGAAGGGAGAAAACAUAUGGAAUGAGAACAAAGGAAGAACACCACAUUGCUGUAUUAAAUUAAAGAUUACUAGUAAGACCUCCCUCUUGCUCCAGAAAGAUAGAUAGAGAGAUGAUAGCUAUAAAUCUGUUCCCUGAAAGAGCAUAGAAGCAAUGAUAUUAUAGUACAAAUGAUCGCAGCCACCACACCAUGAGUUCUAAAUGCCAUUCUCUAAUUUUAAAAACCUGAACUUCUUAGAGAAGUGGCUGAUUCCAGGUAUUUGACAGAAAAAUUACAAGGCAAGGCUGAACAUCUUGUAUCAGAAAACAUGGAGGUGCUAAAAACAAACAAACAAAAACAGUGGAGAACACCGGAUCCAGCUUCAAGGGGCAUCCCUGGCCAGAUCUGAAAGACCUGAGCAUCAACAAGAGCAACGGUGGCUACGUAUCAUAAGAUAAUUGAAUAAAACAAAAACCCGUGAGUCAUUGUGACAAGUAAAGGCUAAAGGUGCUACCAUGCCAAACCAUACUGCUCAGCUACAGGCCACUUUCUUUUGCCAGGCAGGCAUGAAGAGGACCAUUUGAAAAGAGUUGGCGAGAUGAAGGAAAGGCACGGUACAGGCCUGCAUAAUAUUACAGAGAUUUCAUUAUGAGAGAGGAGGUAUUACCAAAUGAGAACAUAUUUCUCUUCCUUAUUAUGGGUUAGACAAGGGCUUAAAAACUGGUGGCUUAAUGUCCUGCUAUGACUCACAGAUAUUUUUACUCACAAACUUCUUUAAUUGGGAAAUUGCACUUAAAUUCCAGAUUUCUGGAUUGUCUUAAAAUCCAGGCAAUCUAGUCUUCAUUCCAACCUGAAAACAGUCAGCUAACAUGAGCAGAAAUUGUCCUAUUCAGUAGGGCCUGCAUCCUUGGGCUCAUCAGAGCUUCCAGUAGUACAGGCUCCCUUCACUGAUUGUUGUCACCUGUCUGGCCCCUGGAGACAUUAUCCUUUAUGACCACUAGUUUGUUUAUGUUUCUGACUUGUGAGCUAUAAAACUGGAAUGACCACUAGUUUAAACUUC